rnacentral:rRNA from 1 species
AUUGAACGCUGGCGGCAGGCCUAACACAUGCAAGUCGAGCGGACGAAGGGAGCUCGCUCCUGGAUUAAGUGGCGGACGGGCGAGUAAUGCCUAGGAAUCUGACUGGUCGUGGGGGAUAACGUCCGGAAACGGGCGCUAAUACCGUAUACGACAUGAGGGUGAAAGUGGGGGUUCUUCGGACCUCACGCUAUCAGAUGAGCCUAGGUCGGAUUAGCUAGGUGGUGGGGUAAAGGCCUACCAAGGCGACGAUCCGUAACUGGUCUGAGAGGAUGAUCAGUCACACUGGAACUGAGACACGGUCCAGACUCCUACGGGAGGCAGCAGUAGGGAAUAUUCGGCAAUGGGCGAAAGCCUGAACCAGCCAUGCCGCGUGAGUGAAGAAGGUCUUCGGAUUGUAAAACACUUUAAGUUGGGAGGAAGGACAGUAAGAGUAUACCUUGCUGUUUUGACGUUACCAACAGAAAAAGCACCGGCUAACUACGUG